rnacentral:rRNA from 1 species
UACGUAGGGGGCAAGCGUUGUCCGGAAUCAUUGGGCGUAAAGCGCGUGUAGGCGGCCCGGAAAGUCUGGUGUGAAAACUGGAGGCUCAACCUCCAGCUGUCAUCGGAAACUAACGGGCUUGAAUACGGAAGAGGCGAGUGGAAUUCCUGGUGUAGCGGUGGAAUGCGCAGAUAUCAGGAGGAACACCUAUUGCGAAGGCAGCUCGCUGGUACGAUAUUGACGCUGAGACGCGAAAGCGUGGGGAGCGAACAGG